ensembl:lncRNA
CUCCACCAAAGCACCAGCUCCGAACGAGUAAAAGUGGUUCUUAAGUAGCACCAUAUCAUUGCUGGUCUAGAAUUAAGAACCGCUUACGUCAGCGGCUGGGGGCGGGGUUACCGUGACCAACAAGACGAGAGAAACGCCAGUUUUCGAUAGCAGCUAAUCGAGCUAACAUCAACACAACGGACGCUACUAGGCAAAAAGGCGAGCCGCGCGAACAUGUUUGGAUCCGCCGUGUUUGGAUGUCGAUGGGAACCGCGGGGAUCCGGCUCUCGCAGGCGACCCGAGGGUACUCGAAUCAAACAGUCAAGUGGGCCGCUGCCUCUCUGCCGGGGUGGAAAGAGUUUGAAUGUCACAGGAGCGGAGAUGAUUGAGGCGGGGAACUCCUGCUGAUCGCGCUGAUGGCUUCAGAUGAAACGGCGGCCUCUCGACGGGAAUAACCCAAAGUAGAAGUGGAGAGGACGUGUUUGCUGAGCGCCCGCCGGGUUGCUCGGGGUCGCCCCCGUCGGUGCCUCGUCAUGGCGUCAGCGGGCUCCUUCCUGCCGUGACAUCGCCGGGGGGGCGUGUCUUCUGAUGAAAAGAGCUUCGACCGAGUGCAAAGACACAUCGAGGCGAAAUGGAAGAUGAAUGAGGGCGUUCAUUGUGAGUGACGAUGAUUAAAGUCUUGAAUAUCUGAACACAUUUCUUUGGGUUUGAUGCGGCUGAGUGACGGUGAGCUUGUUGCACUUUGGGAAACGGCCGAGGGGGGAAACCUUUGACCCGAGAACCUCCUCGGUUUUAGCGUGGCGAUAAAUCGCCGUGAAUCCGUCCUGAUUUUUAUGUAUUCCUCCCGUCUCUCCUUUGGUCGCAAUCACUCCCCCCUCGGGAAGAGAGGGAAGCUGGUGUGUGCAAAUGUGUGAUGGAACGUAUCCAGAUGGAUGUUUCCAACAUCGAGGCUGCUGGGCAGAGGCUCCACUCCCAGGAUUAUAAAUAUUAUUAUACGAUUAAGAACAUGACGGUGGAGAAACCACAAUCAAUUAAGUGUACUUCAGUGAAUUAAACAUAAUGACAAACGUCGUAAUUUUACCGCCCAUUGGGAAUGUUUCAGAUCUGAAGAUCUUAUGCCAGGAUCUGGUUUUUAACUUCUUUAAGUUCCACCAGUUUCUUUCCGAUUCCUUCUGGUUACCUUCAGAGGUCAGUGUGCUAGAUGUAGGACAUUUCUUACAAAUUAAGAGCUUCAUGAGGCUUUUGAGGAGCGGGUGCGCUUGUUUCUCGUCUCCACCACGAGAAGGGAUCCUAAUUCCAAUGGGGUUGUUUUCAACAAGAAAACAAUUUAUGUCCCCGUUCAGCAAACCGGAUGCUUCACAAACUGCAGUGACACCGAGCUCCACAGCGACUCCUCUGCUUGGACCAGGAGCAGAAGAAGGAGGACGGACGGCAGCGUCCCCCAGUUCCAACCGGGGGGAGGAAGCAGCAGAACUUUGUAUAGAAUCCAAACAAACAAACAAGCCGAGGUUCAGCAGGUCGUAAAGGAUCCUCCAUCCACACUGCAGCAAAGCGCUCUUUACCCGUGAGAGCAAAUCAACGUAGAACUCAGACAGACUCCUUAUUCUCCCUUAUUCACAACCAUCAAUUAACCUCUGAUUCCCCCCCGCAGAGGCUGAAGGACGACGCCUCAGUGCGGCACAACGAACCACACGUCUUUUCUCGUUCAAAACGACUAUUCGACCUCCUCCUGUGCCCUGAAGUUCACUUGAGUUUAGUUUGGUUUAGGUCCUGCACCAGAGAAAGCCCUCAGCUAGAGGCUACACCUUGAAAACAGCUGCAUCGGCGGCCUCCCUGCCGGUAUCUUUGGAACCGAUCGCCCCCCC